CGUACACUCCUACGGGAGGCAGCAGUGAGGAAUAUUGGACAAUGGGUGGAAGCCUGAUCCAGCCAUCCCGCGUGCAGGAAGACGGCCCUAUGGGUUGUAAACUGCUUUUAUCUGGGGAUAAACCUACUUACGUGUAAGUAGCUGAAGGUACCAGAAGAAUAAGCACCGGCUAACUCCGUGCCAGCAGCCGCGGUAAUACGGAGGGUGCAAGCGUUAUCCGGAUUUAUUGGGUUUAAAGGGUCCGUAGGCGGACUGAUAAGUCAGUGGUGAAAUCCGACAGCUUAACUGUCGAACUGCCAUUGAUACUGUUAGUCUUGAGUAAGGUUGAAGUGGCUGGAAUAAGUAGUGUAGCGGUGAAAUGCAUAGAUAUUACUUAGAACACCAAUUGCGAAGGCAGGUCACUAAGUCUUAACUGACGCUGAUGGACGAAAGCGUGGGGAGCGAACAGGAUUAGAAACCCCGGUAGUCCCA
rnacentral:rRNA from 1 species